CGUGUAGGCGGUCAGGUAAGUGGAAUGUGAAAUCCCUCGGCUCACCCGAGGACCUGCAUCCCAAACUGCCUGGCUUGAGUAUGGGGAGAGGAUGAGGGAAUUCCUGGUGUAGCGGUGAAAUGCGUAGAUAUCAGGAGGAACACCGGUGGCGAAGGCGCUCAUCUGGCCCAAUACUGACGCUGAAGCGCGAAAGCUAGGGGAGCAAACG
rnacentral:rRNA from 1 species